rnacentral:rRNA from 1 species
CAGUCGCCGCGGUAAUACGAAGGGGGCUAGCGUUGUUCGGAUUUACUGGGCGUAAAGGGCGCGUAGGCGGAUUGAUAAGUCAGGGGUGAAAUCCCGAGGCUCAACCUCGGUACUGCCUUUGAUACUGUUGAUCUUGAGUCCGGGAGAGGUGAGUGGAACUGCGAGUGUAGAGGUGAAAUUCGUAGAUAUUCGCAAGAACACCGGUGGCGAAGGCGGCUCACUGGCCCGGUACUGACGCUGAGGCGCGAAAGCGUGGGGAGCAAACAGGAUUAGAUACCCCCGUAGUCCCUGUCUCUUAUAC